rnacentral:misc_RNA from 1 species
AACUUUCAGCAAUGGAUCACUUGGUUCUGGCAUCGAUGAAAAACGCAGCGAAAUGCGAUAAGUAAUGCGAAUUGCAGAAUUCCAGUGAGUCAUCGAAUCUUUGAACGCACAUUGCGCCCUUUGGUAUUCCGAAGGGCAUGCCUGUUCGAGCGUCAUUAUCACCCCUCAAGCCCCGUGCUUGGUGUUGGACGGCUUGGUCGCGUCAGCGCGACCCCUCCUAAAGACAAUGACGGCGGCCUGUGGUUCCCCCGGUACACUGAGCUUUUAACUGAGCACGUAUUGGACAAGGGCACCCGGGACCCGGUCUUCUCCCUUCACUGGGAAAUUUUUCAAUGGUUGACCUCGGAUCAGGUAGGAAUACGCGCUGAACUUAAGCAUAUCAAUAAGCGGAGGCU